rnacentral:rRNA from 1 species
AUUUAAGGAUCCGUUCGUUGGGUUGGGGAGCGUUCUGUAAGCCUGCGAUGGUGUACUGUGAGGUAUGCUGGAGGUAUCAGAAGUGCUAAGGCUGACAUAAGUAACGAUAAUGCGGGUGAAAAACCCGCACGCCGGAAGACCAAGGGUUCCUGUCCAACGUUUAUCGGGGCAGGGUGAGUCGACCCCUAAGGCGAGGCUGAAAAGCGUAGUCGAUGGGAAACGGGUUAAUAUU